rnacentral:rRNA from 1 species
UGCCAGCCGCCGCGGUAAUACGGAGGGGGCUAGCGUGGUUCGGAAUUACUGUGCGUAAAGCGCACGUAGGCGGACUAUUAAGUCAGGGGUGAACUCCCGGGGCUCAACCCCGGAACUGCCUCUGAUACUGGUAGUCUUGAGUUCGAGAGAGGAAAGUGGAAUUCCGAGUGUAGGGGUGAAAUCCGUAGAUAUUCGGAGGAACACCAGUGGCGAAGGCGGCUUUCUGGACUGAUACUGACACUGAGGUACGACAGCGUGGGUAGCAAACAGGAUUAGAUA